rnacentral:rRNA from 1 species
CCUACGGGAGGCUGCAGUCGAGAAUCAUUCACAAUGGGGGAAACCCUGAUGGUGCGACGCCGCGUGGGGGAAUGAAGGUCUUCGGAUUGUAAACCCCUGUCAUGUGGGAGCAAAUUAAAAAGAUAGUACCACAAGAGGAAGAGACGGCUAACUCUGUGCCAGCAGCCGCGGUAAUACAGCGGUCUCAAGCGUUGUUCGGAAUCACUGGGCGUAAAGCGUGCGUAGGCUGUUUCGUAAGUCGUGUGUGAAAGGCGCGGGCUCAACCCGAGGACGGCACAGGAUAUGGGGAGACGAGAGUAAUGGAGAGGGAACCGGAAUUCUCGGUGUAGCAGUGAAAUGCGUAGAGAGCGAGAGGAACACUCGUGGCGAAGGCGGGUUCCUGGACAUUAACGGACGCUGAGGCACGAAGGCCAGGGGAGCGAAAGGGAUUAGAUACCCGGGUAGUC